rnacentral:rRNA from 1 species
AGGACGAACGCUGGCGGCGUGCUUAACACAUGCAAGUCGAACGAUGAACCGCUUUCGGGCGGGGAUUAGUGGCGAACGGGUGAGUAACACGUGGGCAAUCUGCCCUGCACUCUGGGACAAGCCCUGGAAACGGGGUCUAAUACCGGAUAUGACUGUCCAUCGCAUGGUGGAUGGUGUAAAGCUCCGGCGGUGCAGGAUGAGCCCGCGGCCUAUCAGCUUGUUGGUGAGGUAGUGGCUCACCAAGGCGACGACGGGUAGCCGGCCUGAGAGGGCGACCGGCCACACUGGGACUGAGACACGGCCCAGACUCCUACGGGAGGCAGCAGUGGGGAAUAUUGCACAAUGGGCGAAAGCCUGAUGCAGCGACGCCGCGUGAGGGAUGACGGCCUUCGGGUUGUAAACCUCUUUCAGCAGGGAAGAAGCGAAAGUGACGGUACCUGCAGAAGAAGCGCCGGCUAACUACGUGCCAGCAGCCGCGGUAAUACGUAGGGCGCAAGCGUUGUCCGGAAUUAUUGGGCGUAAAGAGCUCGUAGGCGGCUUGUCACGUCGGUUGUGAAAGCCCGGGGCUUAACCCCGGGUCUGCAGUCGAUACGGGCAGGCUAGAGUUCGGUAGGGGAGAUCGGAAUUCCUGGUGUAGCGGUGAAAUG